AUCUCCUCUCUUCCAUUGCGCUGAAGAACCGAACCAAAUCCAAUCUCAAAUCCUCUCUUCCAUUGCUCUGAAGAACCGAACCAAAUCAAAUCAAUCUAAAAUCCUCUCUUCCAUCUCCUCUCUUCCAUUGCUCUGAAGAACCGAACCAAAUCCAAUCAAUCUAAAACCACUGAAAUCAACCAGGUUUUCAGUUUCUACCAGAUUUUUCCUUCGCAUAAUCGUUUCGUUUCAGUUUAUUGAUUCUAGGGUUUUACGAUUUUAGAGAUUUUGAUUUCAGGGUUUCAGCCGUGAAUCUGUUUUUUUGAUUUUAGUUUGUCGAUUUUUAGGUUUUCAUCUGUGAAACUGGUUUUUUUGAUUUUAUGGAUUUUGAUUUCAUUUUUCGAUUUCAGUUUUUCAUUUGUGAAUCGAUUUUAGGGUUUCAUUUCAAUUAGGGUUUCCAAUUUUCUGUAAUUUUGAGCUUUUCUAAUUGAUUUCUUGUACUCACAAAUACAAGGAUGAACCAGUUGAGGAUGUUAUGGAAGGGGGUGAAGUGGAUGAUGAAAAUAACAAUGAAGAUGAUGCUUCUGAGGGUGUGUUUGUAGAAGGUGUAUAGAAAAGGCUGUCCUCAGAGUAAGAUAUUCUGCGGAUUCGAAUUACCAAGGGGAUAGUGCAGAUUUGGCUACAUGAACCAAUGAUCUCGCGACAGUUUCUUGGUCUUGUGGGCGGAGGGGACAUGUGUCAAUGGAGGGUUAAAGCUGUUUUAGUUAUAGGGUUCGUUUUCAUGCUGAAAAUGGCUUGUGCAUUGUGCAAAUUUGCUUAGAAGGCCAAGGGUUGCGGAUGAAUUAACUUGUGGGCAGAAGAUAAGUACACCUUAUUAUUUCCUUGUUUAUUAGCAUCUAAUAGAUGUCCUUGAAAUCUACUCUUGUCGACAAGUGUAUAUCAACUCCCAUUUUCAUGUCUUGUCUUGAAAUUAUUUGUUGAAUUGCAUUCAGAAUUUUGGUGCUUUUGUCAAGACUUUCAAAUCUUGUCGGUUUGAAAAAUACUGAGUCGCUGCCAUGGUACUAGCAAAUGUUUUCUAUUUAUUUCUUGCAAUACUUGCUCAUCUGAUAUUUCUUAGACCCUAUAGAAACUUAUGUAGUUAUUCAUAAUUUUACGUACCUUCACUGGAUUUCCUGUCAAUUUUGACACUAGGGAACAUCAUGAAUUGUGAAAAGGUUUAAGGACUUAGGUUUGACGUAUAGGGAUAGAAUAAAAUGUUAAUGGGGUUAUUGCCAUCUGGUAAAAAAUUGUAUCUGCAAAACCAAUUAAAAGGAAAGAAUAAUUCUUAAGUUCUCAAAAGCAUCUGCACUUCAGUGAUUGCCUGAAGCUUGAGAUUUAGAAUACAGAUGCGCGCCUGAUUUGUUAGUCGAUAAGAAUUGGACCGUGAAUGUACUCAUUUACUACUUUCUGAAGUUAUGCUUCUCAUGUUUCAUUUAUCUUUUUAAGUGGUAGGUAAGACUUGUGGCAGUGUAUUUGAUUUGAAGCAAUGUGGCAGUGUAUUUUGAUUUGUACGCAGUACGCGAGUAUCUUAGAUCAUUAGGAUCUCUCGAGAUAGAAAACAGUAAAAUUUAACCGACAAAUGUAAAUAGAACGAUGGGAUUUAACAGGUCAUGCCACCUCUUUGACUUUAUCAUGUUCUUUCAAAUAUCUUAUAUCGUAUUUGUCCGGAUUCUUGUAAGUUUGAAUGCCUUAUUUAGUAUUUAUUGGAUAUUGAUACUGGCUAAUGUGAACUACAGGUUUUCUUAUCAGGAUUGUUGUUGUGUGCAGUAAAGUGCAUAGUUAAUGCUUGAAAAUGUGAAACUCCAUGAAUCCGGAGAAGUAGAUCAAUGGUGGUUGUCAAAUGACUACUUCCCUUCACAGAGUUAGGUAUCCAUUCAUCCAGAUCAUCAAAGCUUCCACAAUCCCUGUUAAGCUUUGCAAGAGAGAGAGCACAAAAAAAUUCCACAAGAAGGACAUCAAGUUCCCAUUGCUGCAGGUGCUAAUGGAAAGAAAGGUGGUACAAGUUGGGCAUCAAGCAGCUCAUUUUCCGAAGGAGGGAAAGACCCCUGCAAGAUGAAGCGGCAAGAUGAUCAAAUGUCCAAGUCAGGUGCAUGCAAUUCAUCUCUUGUAGCAAGUUACCAAACCUACUCUUCAUGUUUUUGUAGAUGUAUAGAUCAUGUGUUGAUUUGCUGUGAUACUUGUACUUCAAACUUUCAAUUUCAUCUCGGUAAGUUUGUUGUGAUUCUUGUAUAUAUUUGCAUCUGCUACUCGUACUUUUUGUUAACUUCAAUUGAAGAAUCAUUGAAGAAUC